rnacentral:miRNA from 1 species
AGUUCACAUCUUUCUCCACAGC